GACGAACGCUGGCGGCGUGCUUAACACAUGCCAGUCGAACGGAAAGGCCCCUUUGGGGGUACUCGAGUGGCGAACGGGUGAGUAACACGUGAGUAACCUGCCCUUGACUUCGGGAUAACUUCAGGAAACUGGGGCUAAUACCGGAUAGGAAUCCUUGCUGCAUGGUGGGGGUUGGAAAGCUUCGGCGGUUUUGGAUGGACUCGCGGCUUAUCAGCUUGUUGGUGGGGUAGUGGCUUACCAAGGCUUUGACGGGUAGCCGGCCUGAGAGGGCGACCGGCCACAUUGGGACUGAGAUACGGCCCAGACUCCUACGGGAGGCUGCAGUGGGGAAUAUUGCACAAUGGGCGGAAGCCUGAUGCAGCAACGCCGCGUGCGGGAUGACGGCCUUCGGGUUGUAAACCGCUUUCAGCAGGGGCGAAGCUUGUGGUGACGGUACCUGCAGAAGAAGCACCGGCUAACUACGUG
rnacentral:rRNA from 1 species